UGGCGACCGGCGCACGGGUGCGUAACGCGUAGGCAACCUACCUUUAACAGGGGGAUAACACUGAGAAAUUGGUACUAAUACCCCAUAAUAUCAUAGAAGGCAUCUUUUAUGGUUGAAAAUUCCGAUGGUUAGAGAUGGGCAUGCGUUGUAUUAGCUAGUUGGUGGGGUAACGGCUCACCAAGGCGACGAUACAUAGGGGGACUGAGAGGUUAACCCCCCACACUGGUACUGAGACACGGACCAG
rnacentral:rRNA from 1 species